CCGGGCACGGGCACAGGCAUAACGGUGCCCGGGCAGGGGGCUCGGGAAGGAAGGGAGGUGGGCAGUGGAAUCUAGGCUGCGCUCCCACCUGCUUCGGGAGACCCUCUGGUCUUUCCCAACUUUCUCCUUUAGCAGCUCCUACUCCACCUCCCUCAGAGGAUCAUGGAGGACACAGGGAAGACACGCUGCACGAAGAAAAGCUUGGAAAAGGUAAACGUGCACAAAUGUACUGCAAACGGGAGAGCCGUGGGCGCCGCAGCCUUCCCCGGGCAAGCUGCCAAGCGAGGCCAGAGGCCCCAUGUCCCAGAUCUGGAAGCUGCUCUGGAAGGCGGGUGCCAGACAAGGCCAGAGCUCCCUGGUAGAAGGGGGAUCUGCUGGUGACAGGACUUGGAGGGGGCAAGCACGCCUCACAAGAGCGUCCCAGCAGGACCAGCGCUGGCAGCGCGCCCAGGCAUUCACUGGCACUCGGUGGCCCAGGCACUGCCUGGUGACGACAUUACGGCCUGGCAGGCCCCGGCGUGGACCGGACACCCGCAUGAGGACCGCCACCCUGGUGCUGCCUGGACCCGGCGUAAGCACCUCUGCUGGGACCGGCAUAGACGCACACAGUUUAGCCAGAGAACAGGGCCUGCGUCGCCCCCCCGCCGGCCUGGAGCAGAGAUCCCGUAAGUGGAUGCUGGGCAGAGGGCCAGGCCUCCUGGGGGAUUAGACUGGCCUGUUUGAGAACAGAGCUGGCCCAGUCAGGGUCCCUCCCAGAGUAUCUUGGAAAACACACCAUCCCCCAGUCUUCGGCAGGAGGGAGUGGGGGUGUCAGUGGUGAACACAACGCUCCUGGGUGACAGAGCCAUUCGGUGCAGUGAGAAGAGCACUUGAUCAAGAGUCGGAAGAGCUGGAAGCUGACUCACUGGAUGGGGGUCCAAGCAAAUCUCUUCUCUCCCCUGGGCGCCCGUUCACCCAUCGGUCAGCUUAGCCGAUUGACGUCUUUCGUCCUCUCCUGCUCCAACAGCUGGUAAGUCCGUUCCAAGGUGGGAAACAUGGAGACCACGGGUUCUGGGUCUUUCUACCUGGAAACCUUCUGAGUCCUGGCUGCCCCACGUAGGACAGACUCCCGGAUGGAGCGGAGGAGAGCUCUGUGGUGGGGGAAGGGGGACGUCGGGUCUAUAGUGGGAAGAAGACGAUGUGGGAAGGUGUGAGCAGAGCAGGGGGAACAAGAUACCGAGAGUUUGCACCGAGCCAAAAACUCUGGCUUUCGAAGUCUGUCCGGGACCCCUAACUAGAGGACCCCCCAGGGUCCACUCGUGCUCUGCAGACCAUGAGCCUCCAUGCUUUCCCCUGCCUGGAACAGCUGAGUCUUGGUUUCCUCAUCCAUAAAAUGGGCGUGGGAACUGCACCUCGCCUCGUCGUUGGGAGGCCUUGAGCCGACUUGCGGGGUGUGGGUGGGAUUUUAUCCACAAGGCAAGUGGGCGGCACCAGGCAGGUGGACUUGGCUCCACGCGGCCAGUCAUGCUGAUCCCACAGGUUCCAGAGCUGGGGACCCUCACGGGGUCCUUACCCAGAGAAAGCUUCUCUCUCGCCUGUGGCUCUGGGGGCAGGAGAAUAAGAUCUCAGUGGGUCUAAGUCCCCCCAGGGCCUCGCCCCUUCACUUCUGGUCCCACUUCUUUGCUUCCGGAGCCCCACCCUGGGCUGCUCGGGGCCUCCCACCUCUGCAGUCUCUGUGCUGCCAGCAAGGUGCAGGGGGAAGAGAAGGGGCUGAAGUGGGAGCACCCCUGAGGGCAACCCUGCAUGCCCUCCUUGCUAGAGUCCUCCCAGCGAGAGAAUCCACCGCUGAGCACGCCUUCCUCCGGGUACCGGCGGGGAGGGUGUAGCCAGGCCAGGCCAGCUAGCGGCCCCAACCGAGAGCCUGCGGGAGUGGACAAGGUUAUGAGCUUGGCCUCUUUCCCUUUCCAGCGAGCAGGAGGCUAUCUGGUCCCUGGGUGUCUCUCGGCGUUGUGUGUCCAAGGAGGGGGAGGAGGGCUGCACCAGGGCCGCAGGUCUGGACUCCAGGUCUCUCUGCUUCCUCGUCCCUUCUCCAGCACCCAGGUCAGAGGCUCCUGCGGAGGAGACGCCAGGGAAGGAGCGCAGAGUGGCCUGAGUGCUCCCCACGUGUCCUCCCACCGCUGAGGGCAGGGGAGGCAUGGGCCGGGCGGCCAGUGAGGGAUGAAGAAGCCUGAUGCCAGAGCUGCGGGCCGGCGAGCCCUCUCACCAGUGGGCGGGCGGGGCGCGGGCUGCGAGCGAGGCCUUUGGGGCUUGAGCCCUGGGACCCCCGGGUGGGAAGGAGCCACCCCACGUGAGCUACAGCGCUGACCUCCCGUGUGGGUUCCUGGUGUGAGGCUUUAUAUCAAGGUAAGAGUUUAUUAGUUCUGUGCCUUUAAAUACUAGAAAAUCUGAACGUCAACCCAACCUCAUCAUUGUGUACAAAGGAAACCGAGACCCAGAGGAGCAGUGAACUUGGUCAGACCCACCCACGAGAUGGGGGAGAGCCCGGUGCCGCGGGGGAGAUGGCCACAAGUGAGCCACACUCUGGCCUGGGUCCGCGGACCCCUUUGAGCACCAGCCCUUUAAACCCGCCAGGCUCUCAGCCUCGCCCGCUCAUCGGGAGGGAGGAGGCCCAGACGCAGCCGAUCGCAUCCGGUGGACCACGACGCCAGGGUGAUAGAGGUGUGGCAGCGGCACAGCAAGUUAACAUCUGUGAACACGCACAUCAUGUUCCACACGGAGCGGCCCCUCUAAUGCUCACCGUGCGCCCGGCAGAGAGCAACGCCGCGGUCAGCGGCAGCCGGGAGGUCAGAGGGAACCACCUGGCAGGGCCGGUACUGACCCAGAUGCGGGGCCCUGUGCUCGUGCAGGGGCGCGGGAGGGUCGGGGUGAUGGGAGUCGCUGCACCCGUUGAUCUGGAAGCGGUUCUUGGAGGAGAGAAUCCCCAGCAGCCUCGUGGAUGCAUUUGCUGGCUCCACCGGUAUGUGUCGGAGACCUACCAUGAGACGGUGCCAGUCCGAGGUGCCCUCCGAGUGCUUGCAGCGUGGGACCCAGAGGCCUGGGUCAGGCCUGCUUAGAAUCAGCUGAAGCUCCACGGGAUAUGUUCCAGGACCUCCCUGGGCCUGCCCGGCCCGGGUUGGGUCCUGGAGGAGGAGCAGGGUGCUCUGCGUUCGUGGAGAAGUUCUGGUGGCAUGAAGGAGGGGUUUCUGGGCAAGAGUGGGGCCUUGGCCAGGGCACCGACCUCAGGCUGGCCAGCAGGGUGACAGCUGGGGUUCGUGCUGCUGCUGGCCUCCCAGGGGAGGCUGAGAAGACUGGAGUGGGCCAUGCAUCCGGUUAAACCCAGAAGGCCUCAGCCCCAGCCCCGGCUCCACCCCGUAGCACCAGGUGAACCCAAGUACUCACCACAUCUCUCCAAGCCUCAGUCUUCUUUUCCAUAAAAGAGGAAUAAUUACGUUGCCUGUUUUUUGUUUGUUUGCUUGAAAGUGCUUUUCAGGUUGUAAAUCACUGGGCAGAUAUCAUGACCUCCUCUAUGGGAGACGGGAAGCCUCUGGGCCUUUUUGAGCAGGAGGCCGAAGAAUCUGAAAGAUGCUUUGGAAAGAUCAUUCUGUGACCCUGUGCAGAGUGGGCUGGAGGAGCGAGAGGUAAAACAGGAAGACCUGUCCUGACCACAGAAGAUUAGAAGCCACCAUAAGAGGAAAUGGUGGGAACAGAGAAAAUAGACAAGAGAGAUGUCACAUGGGACCCCCCCGGGCUCCUUGGCCAGUCACGCAGAGCAGCCAGGGAGAAUGGAGAGGCGCUGACUCGGAUCCCCAGCUUGGGCUCCUGGGGGGUGCUGGCCACUGUCAGGCGGACACGACACAGGAGAGGCAAGUUUCGGGGACUGAGCAAGGAGGACAGGUUGGGUGGGAUGUGCGUAAGGGGACAUCCAGGAGCAAGGGCCAGCAGGCUUGUGCAAGUGGCCAAGGAGGCAGUCACAGCUCCAGCUGGGUCAUAUCAUGAGGUGGAGGUCAAAGCCCUGGGAGAGAUGAGGUCGCUCGGGGAGGCACGCAGAAGGAAAAAUGGAGGGGAACAGCCAGAGGGGGAGCGGGCUAGCAGGUGUUUCAGGGAGAAGGGUGCUGAGUGGUUCAGGAUCCCAGGGGGGAAGUGGUAGGAUGUGGUGACAGGAGGGGAGGAGCGGGGGUAGAGGCCCCAUCUGUCUCCAGGGUUAACGCUGUGGGGGUGGGGGCGCAGGGAAGGGAAUAAAAGCUGGACAGUUGGCGGCGGAAGAGUGGGGUCGAGAAGAGGCUGGUUUCAGGCGGGGAGAUCUGAGCAUGCUCACAGCCGAGGGAGCGAAGCAGGGGCAAGAAGAGGUGAAUCAGAGGGAAGAGCAACUGAGAACAGACCCUGCUUGUCAAGGACCCUAAGUGGUUGAUGACAGCCGGCUGGGCACGGCGCUCGGGCGCUCACAGCCCUGGGAGUGCUAGCUCUCCAGCAUCUCCCCCCGAGCACCCCCCCUGCCCGGCGCUGACCCACCCCCACCGCGCCCAGCAGACACGUGCCAGCAGUUUGCCCGCCACAUUGCACACCAAUUAAAGAAUCAGCCUUGUCCAGGCACCAGCAUCUCCUCAUCUGGCAGCGGGUGGCCCGGCCCCGCCCCUGACCCCAGCCCACAGGGCGCCAGCCACGGACUGCUUGGCUUCUCCGGCCCGACUGCAGCCAGAGUGGUACCUCUGGGCAGCCCACCUGCCCCCCCACACCGCCUGGAGACGCCAAGUGGGCUCCAUCACUUAACAGACUCAAUAGAGCUCCCUGCCCAGCCACCCCAUCCUGACCAAGACACGCUCCCCACCUUCCCGGACUCCCCAGACACCAUCUGUAGGAUGCAAGGGCCGGGAUCCCCUGCUUCCUCUCCCUGCAGUGGGCAGAAGGGUAAAUCAAGGCAGGGGAGCUCCCGUGGCUGUCGGAGGUCAGGCAGGGUGGCAUCCGGACUCCCUAGUGCUUCCCUAUUCCUUCCCACACAUCAAACAGUGCCCUCGCACCUCAGGAAGGAGAAGGAGGCCCGUUACCUCCUGUAUGUUCUCAGAGGGAGAAGAAGGCCCUGAAGAUCGGGGGAGAGAGGGAAGGAGGAGCACAAGUACCGUUUCUAGAUUAAACUCAGGACACCCAGAGACAUUUUUAAAGAGCUUUAUUGAUGCGUAGUUUGCACAUCAUGAAGUUCAUCCAUUUGAAGUGUAACACUCCAUGAUUUUUCAGCAUGAUUACAGAAUUGUGCAGACGUCCCCAUAAUUUAACUUUGGAACAUUUUCAUCACCCUCCAAAGAAACGUUGCACCCGCCAGCAGUCACUCCCUGAGCCCUCUCCAGUCCUACGCAGACCCGGCAGCCACUCCUCUGCUUGCUGUCCCUGUGGAUGCUCCUGCCCUGGACCUUCCCCGUGGAUGGCACCAUGCACUGGGGGCCCGGGCACUGGUUCUUCCACUUGGUGUGACGUUUUCCAAGUCCCUCUCUAUCGGACGUGUCCGUACCUCAUUCUUUUUCAGGACUGAGUAAUAUUCCAUCUCGUGCCUGUACCACGUUGUGUUUACCCAUUCGUCAGUUGAUGGACGUUCGGGUGGUUUCCACUUUCAGGCUCCUAUAAAUAAUGCUGCUGUGAAA